rnacentral:rRNA from 1 species
UACGUAGGGCGCAAGCGUUAUCCGGAAUUAUUGGGCGUAAAGGGCUCGUAGGCGGUUUGUCGCGUCUGCCGUGAAAGUCCGGGGCUCGACUCCGGAUCUGCGGUGGGUACGGGCAGACUAGAGUGAUGUAGGGGAGACUGGAAUUCCUGGUGUAGCGGUGAAAUGCGCAGAUAUCAGGAAGAACACCCGUGGCUAAGGCGGUUCUCUAGUACGGUACUGACGCUGAGACGCGAAGGCGUGGGGAGCGAACGGG